rnacentral:tRNA from 1 species
GCGAGGGUGGCGGAAUUGGCAGACGCGCCAGGUUUAGGUCCUGGUGUCCUACUGGACAUGCGGGUUCGAGUCCCGCUCCUCGCA